rnacentral:rRNA from 1 species
GGGCCCGCACAAGCGGUGGAGUAUGUGGUUUAAUUCGAUGCAACGCGAAGAACCUUACCAGGGUUUGACAUCCUGCGAAUCUCUUGGAAACAGGAGAGUGCCUUCGGGAACGCAGUGACAGGUGGUGCAUGGCUGUCGUCAGCUCGUGUCGUGAGAUGUUGGGUUAAGUCCCGCAACGAGCGCAACCCACGUCUUUAGUUGCCAGCAUUCAGUUGGGCACUCUAGAGAGACUGCCGGUGAUAAACCGGAGGAAGGUGUGGAUGACGUCAAGUCAUCAUGCCCCUUACAUCCUGGGCUACACACGUGCUACAAUGGCAAGUACAAAGGGUUGCAAUACUGCGAAGUGGAGCCAAUCCCAUAAAGCUUGCCUCAGUCCGGAUUGGAGUCUGCAACUCGACUCCAUGAAGUCGGAAUCGCUAGUAAUCG